UACGGAGGGUGCGAGCGUUGUCCGGAAUCACUGGGCGUAAAGGGCGCGUAGGUGGCUCGAUAAGUCGCUGGUGAAAUUCCGGGGCUCAACUCCGGAGCUGCCGGCGAGACUGUCGGACUUGAGCACGGUAGGGGCAGAUAGAAUUCCCGGUGUAGCGGUGGAAUGCGUAGAGAUCGGGAAGAAUACCAGUGGCGAAGGCGUUCUGCUGGGCCGUUGCUGACACUGAGGCGCGACAGCGUGGGGAGCAAACAGG
rnacentral:rRNA from 1 species